UCCAGAACGUCUCCCAUCAUUCUUUUCCUCCUUACCCUAAAUUUUUGUUGCUUUUUUUUUUGCGCCGCUGCUGGAGCUCCUCCUUCACUAUAGCAAAUCUCCAUCCUUUCUCUAUUGUCCAAGUUCUUAAUUCCAGCUGAAGGAGAGAAAUGGGUAAUGACUGGUCUUCGUGAUAUUUGGAAGCGACACAAGAGGAAUAUUAAGAAGAAAUAUUUUGAUAAAAAUUCUACUAUUGAACAAAUGCUACAAAUUUGUCCCAAUGAGAUACCUGAAGUUCAGUUCCGUCAAUUGAUUGAGUAUUGGGAUAAUGAAGAUGUCCAAGCUAUGUGCCAAUUGAAUUCUGAAAAUAGGAAAAAAUAAAAGUGGAGGCAUAGAAUGAGACCUAUUAAUUUUGCAAGAGUGCGUGUGGCAUAGCGCGCAACCAAAGAGAACAAUGAGGAACCAUCAAAGUCUGAAAUGUUUAUUACAACUCGUACAAAGAAAGGGAAGGAAGUUCAUACAGAUACUCAAGUUGCAAUAUUUGAACUUCAGAAUUGUCAAAGUUCCGAAGAAACAACAGAUGAUGCAUUUAGGGCUGUACUUGGAAAGGAGCAGCCUGGUCGGGUUAGAUGCUAUGGUAGAUCGGAGACGACAAGCUCUCUGAAAAAAGAUGAAUAAAUCACCAAGCUUAAACAAAACAUGCCAAUGAAAUAACUUCUCUGAAGGAAGAAAUGAAGAAAAUGAUGAGAAAAGAAAUGCGAUGUUUUUUUAGUCAAAUGGUGAAAAACAACCCCAGACUGGAUUUUCAUGAUACAAGGGUGUGUUGGAUCUAAUAUUCCUUCACCAGUUGAUGCAAGUAGUGCACGAGCUAUGAGAGGCCAAAAUCUACCACAUUCUUCUGGCUCAACUCACGCCCCAAGUCUUGAAAAGGUUGCUAUUGUCAAAGACAUACAAGAAUCAAUGCUAGAAGAAGUUGGCUUCAAGAAGGGGCUGCAAAUGUUGAGUCAUUCAGGAGGUAUUUAGAAGCCAUGGGACUUACUAAGCAGGUCACUGCUCCAAAAGUCUACCCUCAAUGUAGUACUAAGCAUGUUCUAACAAUGGAGAGGCUAUAUGGAGUUCCUUUGACGGACUUAGACUCCAUUAAGUCACUGGUUUUUAGUCCUGAGAUCAGUCUUAUUACUGCCCUUAAUGUUUGGUGAAGACCUUUUGAACAAUUGGGAUGUUUAUUUUUAUUGAUUCUAUAAAUAUGAAUACAUUUGGUUUUGUAGAGGUCUUUUCUAGUGAACUCUUGAACCAG